rnacentral:rRNA from 1 species
CCUACGGGAGGCAGCAGUGGGGAAUAUUGCACAAUGGGGGCAACCCUGAUGCAGCGACGCCGCGUGAGUGAAGAAGGAUUUCGGUAUGUAAACUUCUUUCAGCAGGGACGAAAAUGAUGGUACUACCUUACGAAGCCGCGGCUAACUACGUCCCAGCAGCCGCGGUAAUACGUAGGGGGCAAGCGUUAUCCGGAUUUACUGGGUGUAAAGGGAGCGUAGAUGGCAGGACAAGUCUGGAGUGAAAUGCCGGGGCUUAACCCCGGAACUGCUUUGGAAACUGUGGAGCUAGAGUGCAGGAGAGGUAAGUGGAAUUCCUAGUGUAGCGGUGAAAUGCGUAGAGAUUAGGAGGAACACCAGUGGCGAAGGCGGCUUACUGGACUGUAACUGACGUUGAGGCGCGAAAGCGUGGGGAGCAAACAGGAUUAGAUACCCCAGUAGUC